GCGUUUGGUAGUGUGGCCGAGCGGUCUAAGGCGCUGGAUUCAGGUUCCAGUCUCUCAGGAGGCGUGGGUUCGAAUCCCACAAUGUGGCGAGUGCU